rnacentral:rRNA from 1 species
CAGUAGCCGCGGUAAAACGAAGGGUGCAAGCGUUACUCGGAAUUACUGGGCGUAAAGCGUGCGUAGGUGGUGGUUUAAGUCCGUUGUGAAAGCCCUGGGCUCAACCUGGGAAUUGCAGUGGAUACUGGGUCACUAGAGUGUGGUAGAGGAUAGUGGAAUUUCCGGUGUAGCAGUGAAAUGCGUAGAGAUCGGAAGGAACAUCUGUGGCGAAGGCGACUAUCUGGGCCAACACUGACACUGAGGCACGAAAGCGUGGGGAGCAAACAGGAUUAGAUACCCCUGUAGUCCCUGUCUCUUAUAC